rnacentral:rRNA from 1 species
CCUACGGGUGGCAGCAGUGGGGAAUAUUGGGCAAUGGAGGCAACUCUGACCCAGCAACGCCGCGUGAAUGAUGAAGGUCUUCGGAUUGUAAAGUUCUUUUCUAAGGGAAGAAGAAAGUGACGGUACCUUAGGAAUAAGCCUCGGCUAACUACGUGCCAGCAGCCGCGGUAAUACGUAGGAGGCAAGCGUUAUCCGGAAGGACUGGGCGUAAAGGGUGCGUAGGUGGUUUGACAAGUUAGUAGCGCAACUCCGGAGCUCAACUUCGGAACUACUACUAAAACUGUUGGACUUGAGUGCAGGAGAGGUAAGUGGAAUUCCUAGUGUAGCGGUGAAAUGCGUAGAUAGUAGGAGGAACACCAGUGGCGAAGGCGGCUUACUGGACGGUAACUGACGCUGAGGCUCGAAAGCGUGGGGAGCAAACAGGAUUAGAUACCCCUGUAGUC